rnacentral:lncRNA from 1 species
UUGAUGUAAUCACAGCAACACUUGGGAGCUUAAUCAAUCUUCAAAACAAUUUAUUGUCUGUGCAGCUUAUAGUCAAUACUGCAAUCGAUUUUUUUUCUUUUCAUACAUUUAAAAUCACAGAAAACAAUGCCUUUCUCCUGGAUGGUGGGCUGUUCCUUCUAUGACUUUCUGGAAGAGGUUGAUAAGAAUAAAUUAUUAUCAGCCUUUCAAGAAACUACUGAAGAUGGAAUGUACUUUUCCAGACGUUGUCAUUCUACCAUCCUGAGAACAAUUAGACAAAUGAAAAUAUAACUAAUGAAAGUGAUAUAGUGUCAAUUUCUAGGGUGUGGUUAUUGAAGAAUGAGGGAGCUGAGAGGGAGAGGGUGAUGAAUGUAUGCUGAACAUAUAGAGGCAACUAUCUUCCAGAUUGAUACAUUUGUGCUCUGCUUGAUUCCUUCUGCUUCCUGUUGCUGAAAACUCUCCAUAAACUCCCGUACUUUCUUGUCUGUUCUACACCUCCACUUCUAAACAUCUUUCUUCCCACAUGACAACUAAAUUAGCCUUCUCUGUUCUACCUGAAGGGAGGACAUUGACAAGUGCAUGGAUGUAACUUGAAUACAGGUGAUGCCAAAGGGUUGGCCACAUUAUAUAAUGUGCAAACAAGAAACAAAUGGUGGGAGAGACACCCAGUAUUCAGAGUUUCUGCUUUUUCCUCCAUGAUAGUGUUCCCUCAAGAAUCUGAAGAAAGAGGAACUACUCUGCAAGUCAUUUUAGGUGAGGUUUUGCUGAUUUAUCUCAUAGAUAUUUUGUUUUGUUUUGAGACGGAGUCUUGAAAUGUCACCCAGGCUGGAGUGCAUUGGAAUGAUUUUAAUGGACUGCCACCUCUGCCUCCCAGGUUCAAGCGAUUCUCCUGCCUCAGCCUCCCAAGUAGCUGGGACUACAGGUGCACACCACCACAACGGGCUAAUUUUUGUAUUUUUUGUAGAGACGGGAUUUUUCCCUUUAAACAUCAGGAACAAAAGUAUAGAGAAUUGAACAUGACGUUUUUACUAUAAACAAUAAAAUAGGAGGAUAGCUUAGGGAAAAUUUCCUGCCAAACAGGGAUUAGAUAAAAGCUUUCCUCAGCUAGCAGAAAGCAUUGGAACAAGAAAACACAUUCAGCCUUCAGUGAGAAGCUCACUCCCACAUCUUUGGUAAUUUCAGGGAGAAGAGGCAUGUGCUCUCUUUACUUUGGGAGGCAAAACUUCAUAAUGCUCUCCAAAUGGGAUGCCCAAAGGGUUCUAUCCAAAGGUUUUCAAUUUUGCAGGCAGAAAAAGGGCUUGAGAUAGUGUCUUCUACUACAUCUCAGAGUUCUGAAAAACCUGGUGUAAAGAAAAUCAAGAAAUUACUUCAUGCCUUAAUGGAUCAGGUGCAUUUGC